UUUUACUUGGUUGCGGUACCCGUAUGGGAUAAUUGGCAUUUCUACAUACACCUAGCUAGCUGACGGCUGACGCUAGGCGAUCCUUCCGUCCCUAUGAAAAAGUGAUUCUGCUUGUUUAGAAAAAGCAUUAAUGUAGUAGCAGUAGUGUUGAGCCAUUCAUGCUUAUAUUACUCUCUGCUCCAGCAAUGAAGCUUAAGGGGAAAAAAGGAAAGGAGAUCAAGAACUUGUGCUCAUCUAAAAGUUGUGCUCCAGUGGAAGCCAGCAGGUAGGUUCUCCGUAUUCAACU
rnacentral:sRNA from 1 species